rnacentral:rRNA from 1 species
GACGAACGCUGGCGGCGUGCUUAACACAUGCAAGUCGAACGGAAAGGCCCUGCUUUUGUGGGGUGCUCGAGUGGCGAACGGGUGAGUAACACGUGAGUAACCUGCCCUUGACUUUGGGAUAACUUCAGGAAACUGGGGCUAAUACCGGAUAGGAGCUCCUGCUGCAUGGUGGGGGUUGGAAAGUUUCGGCGGUUGGGGAUGGACUCGCGGCUUAUCAGCUUGUUGGUGGGGUAGUGGCUUACCAAGGCUUUGACGGGUAGCCGGCCUGAGAGGGUGACCGGCAAAAUUGGGACUGAGAUACGGCCCAGACUCCUACGGGAGGCAGCAGUGGGGAAUAUUGCAAAAUGGGCGGAAGCCUGAUGCAGCAACGCCGCGUGCGGGAUGACGGCCUUCGGGUUGUAAACCGCUUUCGCCUGUGACGAAGCGUGAGUGACGGUAAUGGGUAAAGAAGCACCGGCUAACUACGUG